AUUGAACGCUGGCGGCAUGCUUUACACAUGCAAGUCGAACGGUAACAGGCCGCAAGGUGCUGACGAGUGGCGAACGGGUGAGUAAUGCAUCGGAACGUGCCCAGUCGUGGGGGAUAACGCAGCGAAAGCUGUGCUAAUACCGCAUACGAUCUAUGGAUGAAAGCGGGGGACCGUAAGGCCUCGCGCGAUUGGAGCGGCCGAUGUCAGAUUAGGUAGUUGGUGGGGUAAAGGCCCACCAAGCCAACGAUCUGUAGCUGGUCUGAGAGGACGACCAGCCACACUGGGACUGAGACACGGCCCAGACUCCUAUGGGAGGCAGCAGUGGGGAAUUUUGGACAAUGGGCGCGAGCCUGAUCCAGCAAUGCCGCGUGCAGGAAGAAGGCCUUCGGGUUGUAAACUGCUUUUGUACGGAACGAAACGGUCUGGGUUAAUACCCUGGGCUAAUGACGGUACCGUAAGAAUAAGCACCGGCUAACUACGUGCCAGCCGCCGCGGUAAUAC
rnacentral:rRNA from 1 species